GACGAACGCUGGCGGCGUGCCUAAUACAUGCAAGUCGAGCGAAGUCUUUCUGAUGCUUGCCCUAGAAAAACUUCGCGGCGCACGGGUGAGUAACACGUAAAGAACCUGCCUCAUAGACUGGGACAACUGUUGGAAACGAUAGCUAAUAACGGAUAACAGUAUUUCUCGCAUGAGAGAUAUUUAAAAGUUGGUUAUGCUAACACUAUGAGAUGGCUUUGCGUUGCAUUAGCUAGUUGGUGGGGUAAAGGCCCACCAAGGCGACGAUGCAUAGCCGACCUGAGAGGGUGAUCGGCCACACUGGGACUGAGACACGGCCCAGACUCCUACGGGAGGCAGCAGUAGGGAAUCUUCCGCAAUGGGCGAAAGCCUGACGGAGCAACGCCGCGUGAGUGAAGAAGGAUUUCGGUUCGUAAAGCUCUGUUGUUAGGGAAGAAUGGAUGUGUAGUAACAAUACGUGGAAGUGACGGUACCUAACCAGAAAGCCACGGCUAACUACGUG
rnacentral:rRNA from 1 species